GACGAACGCUGCCGGCGUGCUUAACACAUGCAGGUCGAACGGCAAGGCCCUUCGGGGUACACGAGUGGCGAACGGGUGAGUAACACGUGGGUGAUCUGCCCUGCACUUCGGGAUAAGCCUGGGAAACUGGGUCUAAUACCGGCUAGGACUCAGGACUGCAUGGUCUGGGGUGGAAAGCUUGUGCGGUGUGGGAUGGGCCCGCGGCCUAGCAGCUGGUUGGUGGGGUGAUGGCCUACCAAGGCGACGACGGGGAGCCGGCCUGAGAGGGUGACCGGCCACAAGGGGACUGAGGUACGGCCCAGACGCCAACGGGAGGCAGCGGUGGGGAAUAUUGCACAAUGGGCGCAAGCCUGAUGCAGCGACGCCGCGUGAGGGAUGACGGCCUUCGGGUUGUAAACCUCUUUCAGCAUCGACGAAGCGAAAGUGACGGUAGGUGCAGAAGAAGGACCGGCCAACUACGUGCCAGCCGCCGCAGUAA
rnacentral:rRNA from 1 species